rnacentral:tRNA from 1 species
UAGAGCCUGCGGACAGCCACAUCUUCUGCUUGCAACACAGACAUUUUAACUAAACUAAGACUCU